GUAAACAAAAAUAUUAGUCCUUUGAUGGGUAAAGCGAUACAGAAGACACUGCUAUAUCAACAGGAUGGCCGUGGGGCCCAGAUAGUUUGCAGGGACUGUGUUGUCACACGAUGACUUCAUCAAGAGCCCAUCCCACUUCCCCAGAACUGGGAGACAUCCUUCUGGCCCUAACUGUGCCAUGGCUGUCAGGCUUCUCUGCUAUGUGGCCAUUUACCUUCUGGAGGCGGGCCUCCUGGAUGCUAGUGUCUCCCAGAUCCCGAGACACUAUGUUUCAGGGACAGGAAAGAAGAUUGUUCUGGAAUGUUCUCAAACUAUGGGCUAUGAGAACAUGUACUGGUAUCGACAAGACCCAGGAAAGGCACUACAGCUGAUCCAUUAUUCAUAUGGUGUUAAUACCACAGAGAAAGCAGAGUUCUCCUCUGGAUCAACUGUCUCUAGAAUAAGGAAGGAGCAUUUUCCCCUAACCCUGGAGUCUGCCAGCCCCUCACAGACAUCUCUCUACCUCUGUGCCACCAUCAGGGACAGAUGGGCAGCACAGAACGAAGCACAUUACGUUAAAGGACAAAAGACAGAGGGAGAUGUUUCGGGGCUCCUGGCCACCUACAGGAUUCUCUUGUCUUCCAGUCCCAUUGGUAGGGCCACAGAAGCCUGCCCCACACUGGGGAAACGUUCCCAAACUCUUGAAUGUGGUGGCCUUGGGAAGGAGAGAUCAGAAGGAAGGUUCUAGAAGGGAAGGGUGGGAAGGUUCAGCAACUGGCUUGUGAUCUAAGGAUGUCAGGGACAUUGCUUUAGUGUCUUGGUUGAU